UACAGAGGUCUCGAGCGUUGUUCGGAUUCAUUGGGCGUAAAGGGUGCGUAGGUGGCGUGGUAAGUCUGGUGUGAAAUCCCGGGGCUCAACCCCGGAACUGCACUGGAUACUGCCAUGCUUGAGUACUGGAGAGGAGAUUGGAAUUACGGUGUAGCAGUGAAAUGCGUAGAUAUCGUGAGGAAGACCAGUGGCGAAGGCGGGUCUCUGGACAGUUCCUGACACUGAGGCACGAAGGCCAGGGAGCAAACGGG
rnacentral:rRNA from 1 species